rnacentral:tRNA from 1 species
UUAAUAGAAGCCAAAGUUAGAGGCUAUUCACUGUUAAUGAAUUUAAUGAUUUUUUUUUAUUAAUCCUAUUAAG